UGUCUUAGGUGUUGGUGUGGAGACUGGGGGCUGAAGGUUACAGAAAGUUUGGACGUUUCUUCUUGGCUGUUUCUGAAGAUGGAGGCGGGGGCUGCUUUAAGGAUGCAAGCUGAUUAGAGAGCUCAGCCCAGCAGGGUACCACGAGAGGCAGCACAGAGCGAAGAGGCUGCUGUGUGUGUGCAGGGAGUGCUGCCCCCAGCAGCUAGCCUCCCCCAGCCCAGGCAGUGUUGUCCCCUGCACCCCACGCCCUGUGG
rnacentral:lncRNA from 1 species